ACUAUUUCAUAAAAUAAUGAGGACUACUAUAGCCACCAUCUCAGACCGUCAUUCUGUUCCCCGACUAGUCCCAGCUAUAUUCUUAUUUCCUGAAGAGAACAAAGAAAGAAAAGAGUGAGCUCAACUAGCCCAGUAAGAAAUAUUAUGACUAAGAUAAUGCAGAAUAAAUUAUCGUUAGCCUUCAACAGUGUUAAACUAAUAAACAACAAGUUUAACUGCAGCGGAACAAGCAAUCCAUUAAAAGAGUCAAGUAGAGCAUGAUAUCUACUAUCUUCUAUGAUUUAAAAAGGUUUUUCAUCAAUUUUAUCGCUGAGACUCAGCUUAAUAAAUAAACCACAUCAUUGAAUCAUCAAUGGUCAUGAUUAUACAGAAUAAUCCCUGGUCAUAAUCAUACCAACAACUGUCCAUCAAUGCACUACAGGCCAAUGAAGACUUUUACCACAUCAUUUGUAACAUUAUGGGUCAUAAUUAUACCGAAUGAUCCCUGGUCAUAAUCAUACCAAUCAACAGUUCAUCUAUGCACGUAAGAUAAAGACGACUUUCAUCAUAAUAUAAGCAUGAGGAUGAUGACAAUGAUAUAAGAAUUCAAUUAAAAGAAGUAAAGGAUAACUUUUAAAGAUUUAUAAUUUAAUUUAUCCAGAAUUCAAUAAUGUUCAAAUUGCCAACAUGAUACUGCUUUGUGGAGUAAAAUUCAAGAAUAAUAUUGUAUCAUAAAUGAUUUGGACAGCAAAGAAAUCAAUUUUUGUCAUGAAUAAUUUCCCGGGUGAAUAGUACUCGAGUAAAUAGUACCCCGUGAAUAGUACUUCAGGAAUAGUACCGCAUGAAUAGUACUUUGUGAAUAGUAUCCCGUGAAUAGUACUUUGUGAAUAGUACCAUAAAAAUGAAUACUACUCAUGGACAGUACUCCGACAUUAUAAACCUUAAAAUUUAACAAGAAUGUGCAGAAAAUAUCCUUGUGAAACGAUACUAGAUGAAGCGCAAAUUUCAAGGAUAUUCUAUUAAUUUCACGGAGUAUAGAAGCAAUACUUUAACAAAAUGAGGGUAUAAUCAGGAAUACAAGACGAAAUAAUAUUACUCAUAUACUACAAAGUAUGAGAAAAUAUUAUUCCUUAUGAAUACUAAAAAAAAUAAUAUCCCUUACCUCAGAAGAAGACUGGAUACUGGAAUAGUGAAGUAGCAGACUUCUCUUCUUCUUUCUCUCUAUAGCUUCUCUCUCUAUAAUUACUCUUGUGAGUCUUAGUGAAUUGGUGAGAAUGAAAGAAGAAUAAGCUUUUAUUUAUAGAAAAAUAUAGAUUCGAUAAUUGCACGUUUUGGGGCUCAAAAUAUUACAGUAUAAUACCUUCAUCUUUUCCUUCAUUUUUAAUUUAGUCCUGCAAGUAUUAUCAAACUUGCACCACCUACCCUAAUAGUACAUGCAUGUGAAUCAAUAGUACACACAUGUGAACAAAUAGUUAUAAACAUGUGAAUUAAUAGCAAUUAAUUACUCAUUUAUCCGAUUAUGAUCAAUAUAACCUCCAGACAUCCAUUAUUAUCGAAAUAGAUGUCAAUUUCCACUAACACUAAUAAUCCCAACACAAUGAAAUUAUCAAUUUCAUCUUUAAUCAACAUGAACUUAUUCAUCAUUAAUAUUAUAACUCAUAAUAUUUAACAACCAGAUCAUUCCGAGGAAAGAGGAGGCUUUUCAAUAAGGAUUUCAUCAUAUUGGCGCGCAAUUAGGUGACCAAACCUUUCAUUGACAGAAGUUUUUAGAAAUUGUCAAUAUUGUAAAUAAUAAUACGAAUAACUUUGUCGUCUCAAUUAUAUAUUUAAUAAUAUAAAAUAUUAUGCAGAUGAUACUGUGACAAUAAUUGAAUCAAUAAUAUGAGAUAUUAUGCAACAAUUACUGUAGCAAUAACUGAGUAUAACUGAGUGACUUCUCACGUAAGCAUCAAUAAUCAAUACCGUGUGUUACUAUGCGACCACGCGUAUUACUGUACUUUUACCACCGAGUAGUUCAACAGUUUAACGGUAAAACUUUCGCUGUUAUUUUUAUAAAAAGAUAAUUUUGUCGUUUUCUAACUCCGACAAUAAUUUCGUUUGUGGGGUCCACCAAUGAUUGUGUCGUCGUACGAAUAUUCGCUAUUAAAAUGAAAAUUCCCCGACCAAUCGAAUAUUUUAAAACCACUUGCUUACUUUGCAAAAUUUAUAAAUAUUACCCACAACUAUAACAUUAUCUCAAAUCCACACCAUAAUAUUCAAAAAUAUAUUUCAAGAAAAAUAAAUCUUUAUUCAUAAAAGUUGGGGUCUUACAGAGUUACGUAGUUUUCUGGGCUUAGCUGGUUAUUAUUGAAGAUUCGUGGAAGGAUUUUCUCUAAUCGUUACUCCGUUAACUCAGCUGACUCAGAAAGAUACAAAAUUCGUGUGGAGCGAGGAAUGCGAGAAGAGUUUCAAAGAGCUCAAGAGGAGACUUAUUUCGGCACCUGUUCUGACAAUACCAUCUAGUUCGGAUGGAUUUGUUAUCUACAACAAUCCUUUGGGCAAAGGGUUAGGAUGUGUUCUCAUGCAACAUGGGAAAGUCAUUAUGCCUCGCAACAACUCAAAGAAUAUGAGAGGAAUUAUCCUACUCGUGAUCUGGAGUUGGCAGCAGUCGUUUUCGCAUUGAAGAUCUGGAGACACUACAUGUAUGGGGAGAAAGUGGAGAUCUAUACAGAUCAUAAAAGCCUCAAAUAUCUCUUCACCCAAAAGGAACACAACAUGCGGCAACGACGUUGGCUAGAGCUGUUGAAAGAUUACGAUUAUACCAUCCAAUACCAUCUUUGAAAAGCAAAUGUGGUAGCUGACACAUUGAGUAGAAGAUCAUAUGCGGGUACGAGUGCGAUAUUGUCAACGUAAUGGCCCAUUUGGUAUACUUGCAAAGGAUGGAGAUUGAGUUAAAGACUCUAGGGACCCACGUGAUGAUGUCAAAUAUACGAGUAAAACCGACUUUAAUCGAUAAAGUUAAAGUUGCUCAAGCUACGGACCUGGAGCUGAUGCGUAUGAAGAAGAAAGUACAAGAAGGUGUUGUUCCAGAAGCAAGAAUCGAUGAAGAAGGAAUACUUCGAGUCAACUCCAGACUUUGUGUUCCUAACGAUUCUGACUUGAAGCAUAGAAUCGUGAUGGAGGCACACAACACACCGUUUGUAAUCCAUCCUAGGAGUACCAAAAUGUAUCAUGAUCUUCGACAUACAUUUUGGUGGAGCAAUAUGAAGAGAGAGAUCGCAGAGUUUAUCUUGAGGUGUUUAACUUGUCAGUGUGUAAAGGCGGAGCAUCAAGUGCCAAAGGGUCCAUUACAACCACUUGAGAUUUCGAAAUGGAAGUGGGAACACAUUACCAUGGAUUUUGUUACGGGUCUUCCCAAGGUUUCUCAAGGCAUAGAUGAGAUUUGGGUUAUUGUUGAUAGAUUAACCAAGUCUGCUCAUUUCUUGCCGAUACGAGAGACGUAUUCCCUUGAACGUCUUGCUCGUAUGUACGUGAAUGAGAUUGUUAGAUUGUAUGGCAUGCUAGUAUCCAUAGUUUCGUAUCGUGACCCAAGAUUCACUUCACGAUUUUGGGUUAGCUUGCAGAAAGCUAUUGGCACGGAUUUACGAUUCAGUUCGGCAUACCAUCCUCAAAUGGACGAGAAAUCAGAAAGGACUAUUCAAAUUCUUGAAGAUCUAUUAAGACUCUAUGUACCUACCAUUGGUGGAAUUCUCCAAAAACAACAGUUAUCAGGCAAGUAUAGGUGUGGCUCCAUUUGAAGCAUUGUAUGGACGAAAGUGUCGCUCUCUAGUAUGUUGGGAUGAGGUGGGAGAAGCAACGUUGUUGAGACCAGAGUUGGUACAUAUGACUACAGAGAAAAUCCAAAUGAUCCGAUAACGUAUACAAACGACACAUAAUCGACAAAAGAGUUAUGCGGAUCUUCAUCGUAAGGACGUGUAAUUUAAUAUUGGCGAUCAUGUAUUGUUACGUAUUGCUCCAUGGAAGGGAGUUACAAGAUUUGGGAAGAGAGGAAAGCUGAAUCCACAAUUUAUUGGUCCAUUUGAGAUUCUUGACCGAAUAGGAAAUGUGGCAUAUAGACUCACAUUACCUCCAAGCAUGUGACAACCUGAAAAUUUUAAAAAUUUUUAAACAUUUUAAUUAAUUGAUUUAAGGUUCAAAAUUAGAACCUAGAUAGAAAAUUAGUGUAUGCGUUUGAUAUUUUUAAGAUAGAAUUUUGAGGAUUUCAAAAUUCUGUGAAGGAUUUAAGUGAAUUAUUUAGGAUUAAGUGUUUAUGUGAAUAUGUUCUGCGUAUAUGUUAACAGUAUGUGGUUAAGGGUCAAGGGUUGACCAGAUAAAUGAUAUCUGUAACAAACCCUAAGUAUAUAUUAAGAACGUCAACGUUCGGUUAGAAAACCCUAACGAUUAACAAGGAACCCUUGAAACCGGUUCUAGAAACCCUAAUUUCGAUUCCGGGAAUCCGAAACCGUAAUUCGGAAUUUAAAACCCUAAUCUGGAAACUUAAAGGAUAAUUAUAAUUCUUAAGUGAUAUUAAUUAUAAUCUUAAUUAGGGUAAAACUUAAUUAUUUAAUAAACCCUAAUUUCAAAUUUAGAAAAUCCUAAUUUCAGGAUAAGAAACCCUAAUUUAUAAUUCGGGAAAAACCUAAGUGUUAAUUAGAAAACCCUAAUUCGUGGGUUAUAAACCCUAAUAACCAUUUUGACCCUAAUUACUUAAUUAGCAAUUUUAAUUAGGAUAUAUUAAUCCUAAUUAACAAGAUUUAAGAUAUGAUUGGUAAAUUUUAAUAUAAUUAGAAAUUUCUAAUUAUAAUUUAGGAAUAUUAAUUUUCUAUUUUUUUAAAAAUCGAAAUUCGAAAAUAUUAGAAACUAAUUUGCUAAACUUGAGGGUUCAAACCCUAAACCCUAAACCCUAACACAAACCCUAAACCCUAAGAGUUUGUCCAAUUGACAAGUUUGCCAUUUAAUUAAAAAUCAAAAUGACUAAAAUGCCCUUUUUGCAUUUUUUUUAAGGUAACUUGUAAAUCUUACUAAAUGAGGAGUUGGUGACCAACUCAUUUGACCUUGGUGACUUAUAACCUCCAGCAGAUCAGCCCCACUAGCUCAGCUACAUUAUUGCAUCAAAUCUUAUAUAGAUUAAAAAGAGAGAAAAUGUUCACUUUCCAUUUUAUUUUGUCCAAGUCUCUUCUCUCUCUAUAUUUUCGGAUCUUAGAGUGAGAGAGUGUGAGAAAACAAGCCAAGAUCAUGUAAUAAUACAACAAGAUCAGAUCAUCAAAGUCAGAAAUUAAGAUCAAGCUUUAAAGGUAUAAUAACCCUAAUUUCGAAAAUCUUUUGAUUUUAUGUUAUAAGUUGUAAUUUGUUGGCUAGAUAUGUGUAAUAGGAUGUCCAUAAGUGAUCUGGGUUGUAAAAUCCCAGAUCCAUAACAUCAAAGUCCUCGAAUCUAGCAUUUUGUAAAAUCUGAAAAUGUUAAAAAAAUGGCCUGACAGUCUAAUGUCAGAGGCCUUAGAUCAUUACGUGUUAACUGUUUUGGGUGUUUUAUGUUUUAGAUCUCUUCUAUGACAUGAGUACUUUGAUCUGGAACUUGAAUCAAGUCCAGAUCAUGUGUAUACUGAAAGUUAGGAGCAGUCAAACAUGGUUGGCCGACCAUGACCGUCUGGAUCUGGGCAACCCAGACUUCCCAGAUGGCUCUGACAAGACAUUUAAGGUCUCUGAUCUUGCUCGUGUUUGAUUUUUUGGUCAGGUUGUUGUUUUAAUGUUGUGUUAUGAUAUACGUACUACAUAAUCAUGCUUCUAGACUACCCAUUUCAUGUUUAGGAUUGAAGAUAAGGAUGGUCAAAGUAGGGUGCAGGGAACUGCCGGAUGAAGAUUCUGGGUAACCCAGAAAUCUUCAUAAGCAGUUCCUGACCAUUACUUUGACCGGCCAUAAUCUCUUAUAUAUGAUGUUGUUAGACUAGGUUAGUGAUAUAUUAUCGUACCCUGUCAUGACUACUACAUGUUGGAACCUUAGUAUUUCACUGAAAAAGUCUAGAACGCUAGAUUCAAGGCUUACAAUAUAGGUAUCUUGUCUGUUCUUCAUUUCUGGAAAACCCAGAAAUGGAAGAACAGUCCUGACAUGAUUUUGUAUGGCGAAUAAAUCUCUGAUUUGUUGUAAAUUGGUCAUGAUUUUAGUUUAUAGUUGUAGUAUUACACUUAUACUACAUUACUAAACCAUCAGACUGUCCACACGCAUUGUGAUCAAAGAUCUAACUACGGUCAAACCACAUACCUUGUUAAUUGUGUAUGAAGAUCUGGGCAGGCAUCAAGAACACCAAGAACACCUAUAGCGACGGUUCUGUCGCUAUAGGGCCCUUUUAGCGACAGUUUAAUUAAGAAAUUAAUUAUUAAUUUUUGAAAAUAAUUUAUUUUAAUUAAUAAAUCGAAAUAAAUAGAUUUUAAUUAUUAAAAAUACUAAAUAAAUUCUGAAAAAUUAUUUUAAAUUCUAAAAAAUAGUUUUUAAUUAUUUAGAGUAUAUUUCAUAAAUAUUUAUUAUUUUUGGAAUAUAAAUGGUAUUUAAUUUAUUUAAUUAUAAUAUUAAAUAAAUGAUUUUAAAAUGAUUUAAAUACAUGAAAAAUAAUAUUAUGGUAAAAGAAAAUAUUUUAAGUUAUUUUAAGUAACUUUUAAUAUUUUAGGCUAAAUUUCAUUAAUUAAUCAAUAUUAAUGAUAAUUAGUUUAUUUAAUAAAUAUAUUAAAUAAAUUAUAGAAAAAUAGAAUCAAUGUUUUAUAAAUCAUAUAAAAAUGAUUUAAGUGUUAGAAAAAUAUUUUUAAGUUAUAAAAUAUAACUUUUGAUAUUUUGUCAUGAAAAUAUUAAUAUUUUAAUAUUAAUAGUAAUUACCGGAUAAUGAAUUUAAGUGUUUUUAAAGUAUUAAAAAUACUUUGUGAUAUUAUAAAAUAUAUUAUAAUAUUAUGACAUGUAUUUCAUUAAUAUUUGAUAUUAAAUAAAUAUUAAUGAUAAAGGAAUUAUGUGGUAUUUAAUUCAGUUAAAUACAUUAUUAAUGAUUAAAAAUUUACAAUAAAUAGUAAUAAUUACUUAAAAAUUAUUACAAGACUUUGAAAAAUAUUUUGACUGUUAUUAAAAUUAUCUGAGAUAAUUUUUAAGUAUUAAGUCAGAGUUUAAUUGAACUUAGACUCGAUAAAAGUCCGACUAGAUCGUCGGGACGUUAGAACUUUGUCGAACUCAAGUCAGACUGAAAUAGUUUGACCUGAUACUGAGUCUUAUGUGUGUUAUAGACUAAUAGGGUUAUGUGUUAUGUGUUUAGAUUAUUCUAUAUUUAUAUAUAUAGUAGUAUUAUAUUGUGAUGAUAUUAUUCUAAUAUUGGAGAUCUAUAUUACUAAUAUUAGGUCUUCGGAUAAAGCGUUAUAAAUUGCAUUACGGUAAUCAACGGUUCAGGCAAGUUUGUUUUUACUUAACUCUACUAAGAGUUGUUUUAUUCGGAUAAGCUUAUGGUUAAUCAUUGCUGGUUGCCAUAAAUUAUACUCUGUACAUAUUGCAUGUAUAAGUCAGGUAUGAACCAUGCUAUUAAGGAAAUGACCUGGGAGUUGGAAUCGGAAAUGAAAGCGAGGUACCCUCACAUUUUUGAAACACCAUGUACGUACGUCAAUUUCGAGGAUAAAAUUUUAUGAGGGGAAGUUGUACGACCCCAACUUUUUAUAAAUAAAAUUGAAUUUCCUCUAAUUAUUAUUUUGAAUAAUAAGGUGUUAAUUUGAUAUAAUACUUUGGUUAUGGGUGAAAUGUGCAAAUUUUACAAAAUAAGCAAGUGGUUAUAAAAUAUUCACUGUUGUCGGGGAAUAUUCUUGCUGUCAGGGAAUAUUCGUACGACGGCGCAACCAUUUGCGGGCCUCAUAACGGAAAACGGUCGGAUGAAGAAAAUGACAAGUUUGAGUUUUUAUAAAUAACGACGUAGUUGUUACUGUUAACACUGUUGGAAUACCCGGUGGUUAAAAUACAGUAAUACGCGUGGUUGCACAGUAGUACACGGUAUUGCACAAUAUUUUUGAAUUAUUGAUUCUUACGUGAGAAGACACUACUCAAUAAUUGUUAUAGUAUUUACUGUUCAAUAUUUUAUUUUAUUGAUUCAAUAAUUGCUAUGUUGAUAUUUUAUAUUAUUUUUGUUUCAAUAAUUGUCAUUGCACAAUAUUUUUUAUUAUCAGAUCAAUAAUUCAUAUUAUUGGAAUAAUAUUAUUAAAUAGCAUUAUUGGCAAUGUCUAAGGAAGUUCUGUCUAGGAAAGCGGUUUGGUCACCUAAUUGUGCGCCAAUAAGGAGAAAUCCUUAUCGGAAAGCCCCUCUUUCCUGGGAACGAUCUGGUUGUCAUAAUUGUGAUUCUGUAAUAUUAUUUGUGAAUAAUUAAUUAUUAAUUUAUAUGAUAAGGAAAUAUUUAUUUUUAUGUGGAUAUAAAUGAUGGAAUUAAUGUUGAGGUGUUUUAUCAGUAUUUUGUCAGAAUAGAGGUGUUAAAAAUCAUCUGUAUGUGGAUUUCAGACAUUUUUUUAUUGGAAUUUGGAAAAACUUUCUUCUACAAAGUUGUAAAAAAUUAAAUUUCCUAUAGAAUAGCCAUGAGAUUCGAAUUUUUAUGAUAAAUGAGCUAUUUAUUAUAAAUUAUUGAAGUUUCAAAAAUAAAUGUUUUUGGUGGGUCCCACUGGUGGUGGUUGAAUUUUCGUCCAAGAGGUGUGCGUAAAAAGUUUUAUAAAAAAUAUUAUUUUUAUUAAUUUAGUCUGCUUUGGCGUUCUAACAUUUUCCUAUAAAUAGGGUGCUUAGUUAGAAUUGAAAAUCACACCAGAAUCAUAACCUUUCUCUCUCUAUAUUAUCGAGCGUAUUUUGUGAGUAUUUAGAUACUUUGAGAGUUGCUAUUCAGUGCAAGUUUUGUGACGAACAAGAUUUUUGUAAACUAAUUUUAAUAUUUAUUGGAUUAAUUAAAUAUUUUCGAUGAUUUAAUUAUUAGAUUAAAUAAUUAAUUGAUGCAAUUGUGAUAGAUUAAUUUAAUUAUAUGUGUUAUACUUAUUAAAUUAAUGUGGAGAAUAAUUUUAUUAUUCAAAGUUUGUAAUUAUGUGAGUUUAUUAAAUUAAAAGAAAUAUUAAAUAAACCUAAUGUUAUUUUAAUUAAGGUAAUAAUUAAUUAGAGAUUUAAUAAUUUGAUAUAAUUAAUUAAUGAGAAAAUUAAUUAUGUGACUAUGUGAAUUAAUGAGAAAUUAUUAUAUUUUAUUAAUUUAAAUUAAAUAAGAUAUUUGAAUUAUUGUGUAAGGGUGUGACAUAAUUUAAACAAUAGUAUAAGAGAUUUAUUAAAUUUAAUGAUUUUGAACCAAUUAAGCCUAGCCAAACAUGGCCUUAGUGGGAGUUAUGGACAGUUAACCCAUGAUGGGUAACUGACCAUAAUGCGCGUCAGUUCUUUAAUUUAUACAACGUCUUCUUCAUUCUUCAUUUUUCUAAAGUCUAGCAAAGAAAUCAGAGAGAGUUCACAGAGAGAAAUUUGAGAGAAAAUUUUGAGUGCGUAAUUAACAAUUAUUGUGAAAGGAUCAUCAUUGAUCACCUCUUCUGAAACUAUACUCUGGGUAAUUUCUCCAAACUCAAAUUCUCCAUUUACGUCAUUUAGUUUUCAUAAAAAUGGCUUCACCUUUUGUAAAGUCUCUGUAUUUGGAAAAGGGUAUGCUUAUGAGUUUGUAUAUGUGUUAAAUGUUACCAAAUCGUAUUUGAUUAUAUAUAUAUAUAUAUAUAUAUAUAUAUAUAUAUAUAUAUAUAUAUAUAUUAUGUAAACCAUAGCAUCAGUUUCAUAAUUUUAACAUGUGAUAUGGCCUCAAAAGUUAUAAAGUUUAGAAUAUGGUCAUAUGGCCUUAUACGUGAUUUUAAUAUGUCAAACAUAAAUGUUUUUGUAAAAUUUACACUCGUAUAUUAUUAUGCAUGUUAAUACGAAGAAACCAAACUUUAAAUAAACGGAUUCGGUGUUAUAACAAAUUCGUAGUAUUAAUUUUCAUGAUUUAUGUUCAAAACCUUCAAAAACAUCAAGAAUAGUGAAAUUUACAUAUUUUAAUUAUGUAAUUAUAUGUUUAAUAGGUUAAAAUAAUUCUAUAAUUGUUGGGUAAUGAUUAUGUAUGAAUUCUAGCAUGUGGGUAUGUUAAUUUAGUGAAAUUAAUGAUCAUGGAGUGUCCAUUUCGCUGAACUCUGUGUUCUUCGCGAAUUGAGAAUCAAAAUCUGGAGUUUCGCACCGCGGCGCCAACUCCAGAACUGAAGUCUCGAGCCGCAGCGCCAAGUCUCCGGCCGCAGCGCCGAGUACAAGUAUAAAAGUGGCGCCGCAGCGCCACUCUGCAGAAUGUCCAGAAACGAAUUUUUAAAAAUUCUUAAGUCUAGCAAUGUGGUAUUAACCUAAUUUAAUAAACAUAGGAAUAUGUGAGAAGUAUAAUGAGAUGUUAAAAUAGAUACUUAACAUGUAAAUAACAAAAUUGCAUGUGGAUUGAAUUAUUGAAUACAUAACUAGCUUGUCAUUCGUGAAGUGUAAAUUAUGUGACAAUGUAGUAAAUUGACUAAGUAUUGUCAUAAUCAAGUUAGACAAAAAGAAUGAACGUUUGAUGAUUAGUUAUGUUAUAAUUAACUAUAGUUGUGAAUAGAAAUGAUAUGUAGGAUUAAAUUCAAGGAACGUGUUUAAUUAACGUGUAAUUUACGCACGAGGCAAGUUUCCUAACCCUACUUGUUAUCAUUAUUCAAGUUUAUAAAUCAAGUUCAUUUGUUAUGUUAAAGAUUUACUAUCUUUUCAAAGUAUGAUUCUGUUAUACAAUAAUUAUUCUAUUGUGUACCUAUUGAGAUUGUUAUUCAUUAUAAAUAUCAUUUAUUGUUGAACCUUGUUAGACUAGCGAAUCCUUAUUGAUUCAACUAGUCCAUAGUUGAUGAAUGUUCUAAAUUCAGAACCCUUAUUGAUUUAUCCAAACCAAAUUUCCUUUGGGGCGGACUCUAAUGUCAUACUGAGAUGAACAACCCUGCAAAGGGAUUUACUUAUACGUUAGCGUUAAGAUAUUGUGCACAGUAUGGUACUAAGGGCUGAUCCCCCUAAGUACGAGAAGAAGAGUCCAUAGUCUUAUGACUGUUAAAGGUUUCAAGUAUAACCCUUGAUAACCUAGGACAUAGUUCAAGGUCUUAUGACCCUCAGAAAUCUUUUGAUUCUUGUUAUUCAUUCUUGAUUCAAAAGUUGAGCUUUUAUUUCAGAAGUCUUUGAUUCAUUCGCAUGUUAUUAUACAUUAUUAUUUCAUUAUUUUACUUAUGGGUAAUAGUGCUCAUUCUUGCGUAAUAAUAACAUUGCAGUUAAGAACGAAAGGUCCGACGAGCCUUCUACUAGCAAAGGCAAGGGCAAGAUUAACAAAUGAUGAAGACUUUUUGUUUUAUAUGAUGAUGUAUUUCUGUUUAAGACUUAAGUUAAUGAUGUUGUUUAAUACUUAUUUGUUUAUAUUUUUGCACAGAUGUUUAAGGUUAGUAUGACCUGGGAUUAUGUUUAUUAUUCAGAUGUUGUAACCCCAUAAGGGGAAGAUUUAUUUCUAUCUAUUGCAUGGUUUGCAUUUAUUAUGGGUAGAUAAAUAGAUGAUAUUUGUACAGUGAACACCAAAUUUCGUGGAAUCGAAGUACCUGAAUUUGGGGGUGUCACAGGUGGUAUCAAAGCCGUUGGUUAUAAACCUUAGGUGGGGGAAACAACCUUAGGUAGUAGCCUUAUAGGAAGAACAUAGUGAUGGAAAACUUUUAUCGAGUUUUAGGAAAUUAAUUUUUGUAAUUCAUUAAAGAUAAUAAAAGACUGUAUGUGCUUAUGUGUUAAAUUAUGUGCUCACUAGUACGACUUAGUAACUAAAAUAUGAAAUUUUGUUGUCGGGAUGUCGGAUGUUAGAGGAAAUAGUCGAACUGGGGAGGAGGAACCCCGAGUACCUACAGUACCUACAGAGGAGGAGCCCCGAGACAUUCAUGUCGUUAGGGAACAAUUGGUACAGAGGGAGUCAUCUCCAUUGAUCACCAUUGUUAGUCAGGAGCAUGAACCUGAAACUGAUCCUGAGGAGGAUCCUGAGGAGGAAUUUGAAGAGGAAGAGGAAGAAGAGGAGUUUCCACAGCACUCCAUUGAUGCUGAGAUGUACGACACAUUAUACGACCCUAACGUAGAGUUACGAGAUGAGGUGCAGGAUCUGACUGAGCGGGCGAUUAUUCAGCAAAUUACUCUCGAGCAGAGGAGAGGGCGAUUUCGACUCUUCACUCAUGACUGGAAAAUGUAGAAUGGGAUUUGGUCCACGAGAAGGGUCAAACCAAAGAUAAGACCACAAAGAUAGAAAAGUUGAAGAAGGAACUGAAGGAAAGCUCUGAAAGGCUGAUUAUAGCAGAGGUAGGCUGGGUAAGAGAGUCACGUCGUGCUGAUAUUGCAGAAGAGGACGGUCGUGCAAAGAAGGCGAAGCUUAGGGAGACGUACUCUACACUUAAUCAUGCAAUGGAUGAGGCCCAGGAUCGAGUUUUGAGGUACCCUAUCCAGUUCGAAGGACUUCCAUCGUACAUGCUGGAUCGCAGGACGAUGUCUCGCAUCAUGGAAGAGGAGCGUAGCAAGGCUAUUCAGCGCCUUGAUAGGCAGUAUAGAAUUUGUUUGCUUAUGUGAGAAACUUAUCUAGUACUUAGAUGUAAAUUCUGAUGUAGUUAUGAACAAAGGAAUAUUUUAAUAUUUAAAUCCUGUAGACUCUUUAUCUCAGGAUAGUUGGUGUAAAUAGCAGUGAUGCUAUCGUUUGAUGUAAAACUUUUGAUUUGAAUGAAUAUAUAUCAAGUUGUUUGAGAUAAUGUGUUAAAUAAUUAUAUGAAAUUGUUGAGUUAAGUCUUAACUAUUUAGAGAAUUUAAUAGAGAUUUAAUAAGCAUAUAUUUUAACAGAAAUAUGCCGCCAAGAAGAAGACAACAAUGUCAACCAGCUCAGGAAGAGUCAACAAAUAACAACAAUAAUGUCUGAUGCUAAUCCCAUUCAGCAGUUUGUUAACUUACUGACUGGAGCAAUGAAUAAUCAACCUCAAGCUCCACCAAAUACUACGUUUAAAGAUUUCAAGGCGGUGGGACCGCCAGGGUUUAAAGGUUCCAUGAACCCGAUCGAGGCUCAAACAUGGGUUAUGGAGAUGGAGAAGGUUUUCGAUAUUGCUAGGGUUAGAGAAGACCAGAAAACUGCUUUUGCAACGUUUAUGCUGAAGUCUGAAGCUAGCUAUUGGUGGUAAGCAAACAAAGUUCAUGGAGGUGAAGGUGUAAUUACUUGGGAGAGAUUUAAAGAGAUGUUCUUCGAGAUGUAUUUCCCGACCAGCUCGCAGAACCAGAUGGAGGUUUAAUUUCUGGAAUUGAAGCAGGGAAAUAUGAUCGUACCUGAUUAUGCGGCUAGAUUCAACAAGUUGGCGAGGUUCGCCCCGUAUCAAUUACACACGGACGAGAGAAAAGCCAGAAGAUUCGAACAAGGACUAAAGCCCUGGGUAUAUAGUAAAGUAUCAAUGUUUCAGAUAAACACUUUUGCCGGAGUACUGGAAAAGGCCAUCCUCGCUGAAGGUGGAAUCGAUGCAGUGACCAAGUACAAUGAAGAUCAGAAGAAGAAGAAGAGUGAAAGUGAAGGAAAUAACAAGGCUAGUGGAAGUGGCACAGGAGGUGGUAAUUUUAAUCAGAAGAAAAUGUGGAAUGACAACUCAUCAUCGGGGAAUCAACAAAGAAGUCAGAAGAAAAGAAUCGAAGCAUGCCCGACCUGCAGGAAAGCUCAUCUGGGAGUUUGUAUGAAGGGAAAGCGGGUGUACUACAAUUGUGGUCAGGAGGGCCACAUAGCACCUAACUUUCCUAACCCAAAGAAGGGUGCCUGCUUCACCUGUGGUUCAAAAGAUCAUUUGGCAAGAGACUGUCCUAAGAAGGGAUCUGGAGGGGCAGGAUCAGGAAGAAGCAAGGGAAACAGCAGUGGAAAUGCCUUGACUAUCACCGGACCAACCGCAACAAACCGAUCUACCGCCCGGACUUUCAACAUGAUGGUGCAGGAUGCAGUUCAGUCUCGUGAUGUGGUGUCAGGUAUCAUUCCGAUCAAUAAAAUUAAUGCUUAUGUUUUAUUUGAUUCGGGUGCUACUUGUUCCUUUAUAUCCGAUGACUUUGCUAAGAAUUUAGAUUUGCCUAAGGAUGAAUUGGAUUAUCCCAUGAACAUAGAAAUUGCGAAUAGAGAAAUAAUCCAUGUUAAGUACGUACAUAAGAACUGUAGAGUGGAUAUUAAGGGUAAUAUCAUGAACGUAGAUCUUAUCCCAAUUUGACUUGGGGAAUUUGACAUUAUCUUGGGAAUGGACUGAUUAUUCAAUUAUGGGGCUGUAAUUGAUUGCCAAAAUAAGCGUAUCAACCUUAUGACUCCGUCAAAGGUUGUGUUUUAUGGUAGCAAGUCGCCUAGACAUGCGAGUUAUCUGACGAUAAUGCAUGCCAGGAAGUUAUUAAGACAAGGCUGUGUAGGAUAUUUAGCUUACAUAGUCGACAGUCGUAAAGAGAAUUCGAAAGUAGAGGAGAUACCGGUAAUGAGAGAUUUCGUCGAUGUAUUUCCAAACGAUUUUCCAGGCCUUCUGCUAGAUAGAGAAGUUGAUUUCGUGAUCGAUUUGGCGCCAGGAACCGCUCCAAUAUCGAAGGCACUAUACCGAAUGGCACUAGUAGAGAUGAAAGAAUUAAUGGUACAACUACAAGAGUUACUGGACAAGAAGUACAUUCAACCAAGCGUAUCGCCGUGGGGAACGCCGGUGUUGUUUGUAAAGAAGAAGGAUGGAACGAUGCGGCUCUGCAUUGAUUACAGAGAAUUGAAUAAGGUCACAAUUAAGAAUAAAUAUCCAUUACCGAGGAUCGAUGAUCUGUUUGAUCAAUUGAAAGGAGCAAAAUAUUUUUCCAAGAUAGACUUGAGGAGUGGUUAUCAUCAACUGAAGGUGAGACCCGAGGAUGUACCGAAAAUAGCAUUCAGAACACGAUAUGGUCACUACGAAUUUUUGGUUAUGUCGUUUGGUCUAACGAAUUCUCCCGCAGCAUUUAUGGGAUUAAUGAAUGGUGUGUUCAAACCGUUUUUGGACAAGUUCGUAGUGGUAUUUAUAGACGACAUUUUGGUUUAUUUGAAAACCAAGGAAGAACAUGAAGAGCAUUUGAGAUUAACGUUGGAAGUGUUGUAUGCCAAGUUUUCAAAAUGCGAAUUUUGGAUCGAGCGGGGCAAUUUCUUGGGCAUGUGAUUGAUAAAAAUGGAAUUUCAAUAGAUUCAUCCAAAGUCGAAGCCGUGAUUAACUGGGAUCAGCCAAGGACGCCGUCAAAAGUACGAAGUUUUCUUGGAUUGGUAGGAUAUUACAGAAGGUUCAUACAAGACUUUUCCAAGAUCGCAACUCCGUUAACGAAUUUAACUCGAAAAGCUAUGAAAUUUGUUUGGACGGAGAAGUGUGAGGAAAGCUUUCAGGAAUUGAAGAAGAGGUUGAGUACAGCACCUGUGUUGUCUCUUCCGGACGAUACAGGAAAUUUUGUUGUUUAUAGUGAUGCGUCGCAUAAAGGACUUGGUUGUGUGCUGAUGCAAAACGGCAAAGUCAUUGCGUAUGCAUCACAACAAUUGAAGGAUUACGAGAAAGGAUAUCCGACCCACGACAUGGAGUUAGCUGCAGUAGUUUUUGCUUUGAAAAUUUGGAGGCACUAUCUCUACGGGGAGAAGUGGGAAAUAUAUACAGACCAUAAGAGUCUGAAAUAUAUUUUUACAUAGAAAGAUUUGAAUAUGCUCCAAAGAAGGUGGUUGGAGUUAAUUAAGGAUUACAAUUGUGAGAUUUUAUACCAUCCAGGUAAGGCAAAUGUAGUUGCCGACGCCUUAAGUAGAAAGGGUCGGGAGAAGUUGAUGAUGUUGACCGCUUAGGAGGAGCUAAUUAUAGAAAUGGAAAAACUGGAAUUGGAAGUUAAGUAUCCUAUGGAGAUUGAUGAAAAGCUAUUUUAAAUGCAAUCUGGUACAACUCUACUAGAUAAAGUAAAGGAGGCUCAGCUUCAGGACGAAGAAUGCAAAAAGGUGAUAAAGAAGAUAUCUGAAGGAACUGAACUGAGGUUCAAGAUGGAUAAGGAAGGAAUACUUAGAUUUGAGAGCAGAAUUUGGGUACCGCCAGUACCAAAGAUUAAGGAAGACAUUUUGAGUGAGGUUCAUAGCUCACGAUUUUUGAUUCACCCUGGUAGUACCAAGAUGUAUCAAGAUCUUCGACAACACUUCUGGUGGCCGAAUUUAAAACGAGAUGUUGCAGAAUGUGUUGCCAAGUGUCUGACCUGUCAGAAAGUAAAAGCAGAACAUCAGAGACCAAGUGGAUUGCUACAACCGUUGGAGAUUCCAGAAUGGAAAUGGGAACAUAUUACAAUGGACUUCAUGGUUGGCCUUCCGCCGACUUAGAAAGGCUACGACGUAGUAUGGGUUAUCGUUGACCGACUGACGAAAUUCGCACACUUCCUUCCGAUCAAAAUUAGAUUUAACUUAGAUCAGUUGGCGAGAUUAUACGUAAAAGAGAUUGUUUCGAGGCACGGAGUGCCGGUGUCAAUUGUUUCUGAUAGAGAUCCGCACUUUACAUCAAAUUUCUGGAAACAUCUACAGGAAUGCAUGGGAACUCAAUUGCGAAUGAGUACAACAUACCACCCUCAAACAGACGGACGGAGUGAGAGAACGAUUCAGACAUUAGAAGAUAUGCUAAGAGCCUGUGUAACGGACUUUAAAGAAAAUUGGGAUGAUCACCUACCGUUAGUAGAGUUCGGCGACAACAACAGUUACCACGCUAGUAUAGGCAUGCCGCCUUAUGAAGCGUUAUACGGCAGAAAGUGCAGAACUCCACUUUAUUAGGAUGAAGUUGGCGAAAGACAAUUGCUAGGCCCAGAAUUAGUACAGCAGACAGUAGAAAUAGUCAAAGUGAUCCGAGCACGACUAGUAGCAGCUCAAGAUAGACAGAAAAAAUACGCUGAUCCACACCGUAAGAAUGUUGAAUUUGAACCGGGUAGUUACGUGUUCUUAAAGGUCUCUCCCUGGAAGGGAAAGAUUAGGUUCGGAAAGAAAGAAAAAUUGAGCCCAAGAUUCAUUGGACCCUUUGAAGUACUACGAAGAAUCGGAGAAGUCGCGUACGAGGUAGCCCUACCUCCAGCACUCAAGAAUGUCCACAACGUCUUCCAUGUUUCUGUUUUACGCCCCUACAAACCCGAUUACAAGCAUGUAAUUGAAUACGAACCCCUGUAUUUUGAAAAAGACUUAUCUUACGAAGAAAUUCCUGUUCAAAUUGUCGACAGAAAAGAACAAGUUCUCAGAAAUAAAGUAAUACCUUCUGUUAAGGUAAUUUGGAGGAACCACAACGCUGAAGAAGCUACGUGGGAACUCGAAGAGAAUAUAAUGAAGAAUUACCCUCAUUUAUUUACUUAAUUUAUGUGUAAGCGAUUCUAGGGACAGAAUCUUUGUAAGAGGGGGGUGAAUGUAACGGGUCAAAUUUAUUGAGUCAUGAUUCUGGGGACAUAAUCCUUUUAAGGGGGGAAAGAUGUGACGAACGAGAUUUUUGUAAAUUAAUUUUAAUAUUUAUUGGAUUAAAUAAAUAUUUUCGAUGAUUUAAUUAUUAGAUUAAAUAAUUAAUUGCUGUAAUUGUGAUAGAUUAAUUUAAUUAUAUGUGUUAUACUUAUUAAAUUAUUAAAUUAAUGUGGAGAAUAAUUUUAUUAUUCAAAGUUUGUAAUUAUGUGAGUUUAUUAAAUUAAAAGAAAUAUUUAAUAAACCUAAUGUUAUUUUAAUUAAUGUAAUAAUUAAUUAGAGAUUUAAUAAUUUGAUAUAAUUAAUUAAUGAGAAAAUUAAUUAUGUGACUAUGUAAAUUAAUGAGAAAUUAUUAUAUUUUAUUAAUUUAAAUUAAAUAAGAUAUUUGAAUUAUUGUGUAAGGGUGUGACAUAAUUUAAACUAUAGUAUAAGAGAUUUAUUAAAUUUAAUGAUUUUGAACCAAUUAAGCCUAGCCAAACAUGGCCUUAGUGGGAGUUAUGGACAGUUAACCCAUGAUGGGUAACUGACCAUAAUGCGCGUCAGUUCUUUAAUUUAUACGACGUCUUCUUCAUUCUUAAUUUUUCUAAAGUCUAGCAAAUAAAUCAGAGAGAGUUCACAGAGAGAAAUUUGAGAAGUUUGAGAGAAAUUUUUGAGUGUGUAAUUAGCAAUUAUUUGUGAAAGGAUCAUCAUUGAUCACCUCUUCUGAAACUAUACUCUGGGUAAUUUCUCCGAACUCAAAUUCUCCUUUUACGUCAUUUAGUUUUCAUAAAAAUGACUUCACCUUUUGUAAAGUCUCUGUAUUUGGGAAAGGGUAUGAUUAUGAGUUUGUAUAUGUGUUAAAUAUUACCAAAUCGUGUUUGAUUAUAUAUAUAUAUAUAUAUAUAUAUAUAUAUUAUGUAAACCAUAGCAUCAGUUUCAUAAUAUUAACAUGUGAUAUGGCCUCAAAAGUUACAGAGUUUAGAAUAUGGCCAUAUGGCCUUAUACGUGAUUUUAAUAUGUCAAACAUAAAUGUUUUUGUAAAAUUUACACUCGUAUAUUACUAUGCAUGUUAAUAUGAAGAGACCAAACUUUAAAUGAAUGGAUUCGUUGUUAUAACGAAUUUGUAGUAUUAAUUUUCAUGAUUUAUGUUCAAAACCUUCAAAAACAUCAAGAAUAGUGAAAUUUACAUAUUUUAAUUCUGUAAUUAUAUGUUUUAAUGGGUUAAAAUCAUUCUAUAAUUGUUAGGUAAUGAUUAUGUAUGAAUUCUAGCAUGUGGGUAUAUUAAUUUAGUGAAAUUAAUGAUCAUGAAGUGUCCAUUUCGUUGAACUGUUCUUCGCGAACUUAGAAUCAAAAUUUGGAGUUUCGCACCGCGGCGCCAACUCCAGAACUGAAGUCUCGCACCGCAGCUUCCCCGCGCCGCAGUACCAAGUCUCCAGCCGCAGCGCCGAGUACAAGUAUAAAAGUGGCGCCGCAGCGUCACUCUGCAGAAUGUCCAGAAACGAAUUUUUAAAAAUGCUUAAGUCUAGCAAUGUGGUAUUAACCUAAUUUAAUAAACAUAGGAAUAUGUUAGAAGUAUAAUGAGAUGUUAAAAUAGAUACUUAACAUGUAAAUAACAAAAUUGCAUGUGGAUUGCAUGUUUAAUACUUAUUUGUUUAUAUUUUUGCACAGAUGUUUAAGGUUAGUAUGACCUGGGAUUAUGUUUAUUAUUCAGAUGUUGUAACCCAAUAAGGAGAAGAUUUAUUUCUAUAUAUUGCAUGGUUUGCGUUUUUUAUGGGUAGAUAAAUAGAUGAUAUUUGUACAGUGAACACCAAAUCCCGUGGAAUCGAAGUACCUGGAUUUGGGGGUGUCACAAAUUUCCUUCAACACUAAAUCCGAUAUUCCAGUCAGAAGUGCUGUUCUUUUGAGGUAAGGGAUGUUAUUUUCUUCGUAAAUGAUGUUAUUUCGUUCAAUAUCAUUAUGCCAAAAUAUUGGUAUGAAUUUUAUUAUUAAAUUUUUACUUUUUUAUGUCGAGGUUACUAUUCACGUAUACGAUAUUAUUCACGUAUACGGCACUAUUCACGAAUACGGUACUAUUCAGAAAAUAUGAUUUUUCUUGUGAAAUUUCUACCUUUUUGUGUCGGGGUUACUAUUCACGUAUACGACACUAUUCACAGAAAAAUAAAAUUUUCUCUUCUUUGUCCAAGAUGUCUAUAAUGGUUACUAUCUUUGAUUGUAUCCAUAUUUUGAUCUUCAUUCUUGAAUUUUACUCCACUAUGGUUUAUUACGGAGUAUUUUUGAACCUGGAUAAACUAAAGUACGAAUCCCUAAUCAUUGAUCUUUUAUCUCACUUGAUUCAUUUUCUUUAAGAUAUUUUUCAUCAUCCUCAGUCCUAAAUGAUUAUAUUACUGAAUAUCUUUGGCCUGUAAUGCAAAGAUGAAUGAUUACCUGAUGAAUAUCUUUGGCUUGUAGUGCAAAGAUGAACAGGUGUUGAGAUGAACUUGACCAACUGGUGAUACAAAUGAAUAUCUUUGGCUCGUUAUGCAAAGAUGAAUAUUUGGUUCAAGAUGUAUAUUGAUUGAUGUUACAGGGAUAAAAUAUUGAUGAUGGACUUUUAAAUCAUAGAAGAUAGUAGAUUUCAUUCUCUACUUAACUCUUCUAAUGAAUUGUUAUUUCCGCUGCGAAUAUUGAUCUAAAACUUGUUGUCCAUUAUAUUUUAUCUGAAUUAUUGAAGGCUAACGAUAAUUUGUUCUACAUUAUCUUAGUCAUAAUAUUAUCUACUGAGCUAGUUGAGCUCACCCAUUUUCUUUUUGUUCCAUUUUUCUUCUCAGGAUGCGAGAAUAUAACGGGAACUAGUCGGGGUGUGGAGUGAUGUUUCCAGUCAGUUUUUUUUAGUAGUCACCACUAUUUUGUAAAAUAGUGUUCAAUAAUUGUAAUGAAAACUUAUUUGAGUUUGAAUACUGUCUAGAAGACAAUAUUUGUAUUUAAACUCACAAUAUAUGUGUUGUCGUAUUUUGCACGACAAUUGUAAUAAUGAAGUUGUAGUUUUUUCUGUACCACGUAUUUGGCGACUCAGAAUGGGUGAUGUAUACCUAUUUUGGGGGCGUCACAGGUACUAUUCAUGGGUACUAUUCAUACGAUAAUAUUUAUACGGUACUAUUCAUGAGUACUAUUCACAACAUAAUUUAAUUUUCUUUUCUGUCCAAAUUAUUUUUGAUACAUAAAUAUCAUUCUUGAAUUUUGCUUCAUAAAUAGUUAUCAUGUUAACAAUUAUGACAUUUUUGAACUCUGGAUAAAUUGAAUUAUAAAUAUCUACUAUUUAUCCUUUGUCUCACUUGAUUGAAUCUUUAUAUCAUUGUCAUCAUCCUCAUGCUUAUAUUGUGUUGAUAGUCAUCUUUGGCCCGUAGUACAAAGAUGGACUGUUGAUUGGUAUGAUUAUGACCAUGAAUUAUGUAUUGGUAUAAUCAUAACUUUAAUGUUAAAGAUAAGGUUUGUGGUGAACGUCCUCUUUAGCCUUUAGUGAAUAAAUGGUUAGGUGUUUGGCAUAAUCAUGACCACUGGUGAUACUAACAAAUAUCCUUAGCCCGUAGUGCAUGGAUAAUUCGUUGAUUUGAAAUAUUUAUUGAUUGGUGUUAAAAGGAUAAAAUAUUGAUGACGGACUUUUAAAUCAUAGAAGAUAGUAGAUAUCAUGCUCUACUUGACUCUUCUAAUGGAAUGUUGUUUCUGCUGCAGUUGUGAUCUAAAACUUGUUGUCUAUUAUAUUCUAUCAGAUUUUUCCCUGUUGAAGACUAAGGAUAAUUUGUUUUACAUUAUCUUAGUAAUAAUAUUCUUUACUGGGCUAGUUGAGCUCCCCUUUUCCUUUUGGUUCCAUUGUUCUUCUCAGGAGGCGAGAAUGUAGCUGGGACUAGUCGGGGAAUGGAGUAGUGGUCCAAGAUGGUUAUUUUUGUAAUUCUCACUAUUUUAUAAAAUAGUGUGACAAGAAUUGUAAUGAGGAUUUUAUUUGGGUUUGGAUAUUGUCUAUGAAAUAAUAUUUGUAUUAAAACUCACAACGUAUGUUUUAUCGUAUUUUACACGACAAUUAUUGGUUGUAUAAAUGAAGUUGUAUUUAAAUUUUGUACCAUAUAUUUGGUUACUCAGAAUGGGUUGUGUGGAUCUAUUUUGGGGGCGUCAUAUUAGCCCACCAAAAGCUCACCAAAAAAGUCAUGACUGAAGGUACUAUUAUUAGUAAUUUAAUUCUUUAUACACAAACAAUUUUUUUCAUAUCUUUCGAUGUGAAACUAAGAUGUUACAAAUAAUAUGAUUUGAUUAUACGCAAUCCCUAAUCAGUUGAAUAGUGGAAAAGAUUGUGGAAUGAAAUAUGAGUCUUGGAAGAGUAUAUAAUAUGGAUGUAGAUUGUGACGCUCCAAAAUAGGUUCGCACAAUUCAUUUUGAGUCGCCAAAUACACACUGCAUAAAUCAAAUACAAAUUUUCCAAUUUAGAACUAUUAAACUGUCUUGUAAAAUACGACAAUAAAUAUACUUUGAGUUUUAAUACAAAUAUUAUACUAUAACUAGUACGACAAUAUCCACACUCAACUUAAAUUCUCAAUACAAUUAUUAUCACACUAUUAUAUAACGUAUUGAGAUAGUUCUACAGUCUCGAACCAUCACUCUAUUCCUCAGCUAGUCUCAGCUACACUCUCAUUUUUUGAGAAAAACAAUGGAACAAAAAGAAAAAUGGUGAACUCAUAUAACCUAGUAAAUUAUAGCAUGACUAAGAUAAUAAAGAAUAAAUUAUCUUUAAUCUUCAAUAAUAAUAAAUCAGAGAGUAUAAAUUUCACACAAUAACCGCAGCGGAACAAAUAAUCUAUUAGAAGAGUCCAGUAGAACAUAAUGUCUAUUAUUUUCUCUUAUUUGAAAAUUUUUCCAUCAAUAUUUUAUCUCUAUAACACCAAUUAACAGUUUCUCUUUGCACCCAGGCCAAAGAGAACUUCUACUACCUUCCUUUGUCUGUAACAUUAACAAUCAUGAUUUUAUCGAUAUAUAGUUCCUGAUUAUAAUCAUACAAAUCAACAGUUUAUCUUUGCACUACGGGCUAAAGAUAUUCAAUUAUAUCUGAUAAGUGGGUUUUAUACCUACUUAUCGGAUAUCAAUUCACGCGAACUACACCUAUCUUAAGUACAUUUUAGUGUGUUUUUAGUUGCAUUUUGUUUAUUUUUCAUUGCAUGUACUUAGAACUCCCUUUGGUGUAAAAGUGCAGGAUAUGACAUAAGUUGGCGAUGGUGAGUGGCAUGCGAUCAAUGAAGGCACAACAUGAGAACGGAUUGAGCAGAGAAACCAAGAGUUAGUGGACAAAAGACUGAGAAGCAGGAUAAAAACAGCAGCAGCAUAAAACCAGAAUCAACAGUGCAGAAGCCGCGCGGCCGCGCGGUUAUUGAGGCUUGAGGACGCGCGCCCGCGCGAAGAAUACACAAGAGGAGUGCGCGCCAGCGCGUGAUGUCUGAUGCUGCUGAGCUGUUUUAUUUUAAUUUUUAAUUUUAAGGGUUGUAAUUGAUUAAAAACAAUUCUGACUGGUGUCAGACGUAUCAUUCAGUAGUUUUACGUGUUUUUCAUAUUCGUAACUAGGGUUUACACUUGGAGAUCAUUCCAACGUGAAACCAAUCGUAGACUUCGUAUUUUCAACUCGAUCUUUAGAUUUCAGUAGUUGUGGAUGCUUUACAUUAUUGUUGCCGGAUAUUAUUAAGGAUUUGCACGUUACGUUGGGUUUGUAAUCAACAAUUGGGUUUGAUCGAUUCUUUCUUCUCUCUUUCUCAAUUGUUUGCUUAUUAUCCAUGUUUUGCUUUGAUCCCAUAAUGGCUUCUGGUUCAGUCAUGAACUAAACUCCAUUAUGGGAUUCUAACGGAUUUUAAUAUGUAAUUUAAUUGAUUGCUUGAGUGCUGGACUGUUUUACAUGUCAUAAGGAAAUUCUAUCAUGGUUGUUUUGCAUGCAUGAAUGCUUGAUCACCAUUCGUUUUCAGUACUUGUAUGGAGUUAAAAAAUAACAUGCGAGUAUGGAUUGUAAUCAUGAUAACAUGAGUAUAUGGGGCUGUUGUGUAUAGCUUUGUAUUUCGUGAACCAGAUAGACAUAUACUAUUUCACCGUAUGAGUUAAAAUAAAGGCUUGUGCUUAAAUUCAAUAUGGUUGCAAUUUCGCAUAGACAUAUAGUGAUUUUGGUUAUAUUGAUGAUUACACGGUGUCUAUCGCAUUUGGAUACUGUGUAAGUAGGCCAUAGUACAUUGAAAAAUGGCUAUAUCUAUAUUAGUGCUCUUGGCUACUUUUCUGUGGUGUGUAAACAAUCUUGCAUGAUGGUAGUAAUUAGAUGAAGUAUUAAAUGAAGUUAGGAUCCCAUUACCUCCAGAUUUGAUUUAUUACCUUAUUAUUCUUGUUAUUUGCAAUUAGAGUAAUUCACAAUUAUAAUCAAUAGUUUAAGCAUAUAAAAUAUAGUAAUUUAAUUGAUGUAUAGUGGUUUAAAUUAGACAACUUUCCCCGUGGAUCGAUACUCGACUUACUCUGUAUUACUUGUUGACGCAUGUAUACUUGCAUGAAUUAGAGCUCUUUUGUUAGAACUAAAAAAGAGGCAACAAGUUUUUGGCGUCGUUGCCGGGGAAAGGCAUUUAAAUUUUUAUUAUUAUCAUUAGUUUUAAGCUAUAUUGUAUGACUUAGACAAAUCUAAUCUUAUCUCAUUUUCAUUUUUGUUUUUGUUUUUAUUUCAGGAACUUGUAUAAAUUUUUAUGCGCACGCGGUCAUCCAUCCCCAACUUAACACCUGCUCAGGACAACAUAAACGGGAGAGGUUGGAAAGCGAGUGUUCGUAGAAAUUUACAAGCACAGUUAGAAAGUACUACAUCUAAUAUGGCAGCUGAGGGACAAGGAGAAGAGCAAAGAGAGGAGCAUAGGGCUCUGAAAGAAUAUUCCAUGCCUAAUAUUAAUGGAUUACAGUCUAGCAUAGUCAGACCAGCGAUAGCAGCUAAUACAUUUGAGAUAAAAACGGGCACUAUUCAGAUGGUAAAAAAUUCGGCACAAUUUGGGGGUUAUGUUACAGAUGAUCCGAAUGAACACUUGUUGAGUUUCAUUGAGAUAUGUGACACGUUCAGAUAUAACGGGGUAACGGAGGAUGCUAUCAGACUUAGGCUGUUUCCAUUCUCAUUGAGGGAUAAAGCGAGAAGUUGGCUUCAUUCUUUGCCAGCAGGAUCUAUAACUACAUGGGAGGAUUUAACACAGAAGUUCUUAGCCAAGUUUUUCCCAAUGGCUAAGACUGUGAAAAUGAGGACAACAAUCUCUCAGUUCGAACAACAGCAUGGUGAAUCCUUAUAUGAGGCAUGGGAUAGAUACAAAGAGAUGCUACGGAAGUGUUCGCACCAUGGAAUGCCAGAUUAGAUGGUGAUCAACACAUUCUAUAACAGAUUGGGAUGGCAGUCUAGGCCAAUUGUAGAUGCAGCUGCAGGUGGAGCAUUAUGGGCGAAGAGCUAUGAGGAAGCCUAUAACCUCAUCGAGACAAUGGCAUCAAACAAUUUUCAAAAUCCUACAUCUCGGAUGCCACAGCCCAAAGUUGCAGGUUUGUUAGAAGUGGAUGCUAUUACGCAGUUGUCAGCACAGAUGGCAGCCAUGGCGAAGAAAAUAGAUACAUUAACAGAGGGUAAGGCGAAGACAGUUGCAUUUGUAUGUGAGAUCUGUGCGGGGUCACUCGACAGAUCAAUGUGCUAUCAGCUCAGAGUCGGUACAAUAUGUGAGCAAUUAUAGAAAAGACAAAGGUCAGUUUCAGAACACAUACAACCCCAACAACCGUAAUCAUCCAAACUUCAAUUGGUCAAAUAACCAAGGGAAUCAGUAGAAUCAGUUUCAGUCACAGCCAGCGCAGCCACAGUUUACUCCUAGACCACCUUUUCCGCCGGGAUUUUCUCAACAACAACAACAUCACACUCCAGCUGCACCUCAGCAAGAAAAAGAAAUCAGAAAUGGAGGAGAUGAUGAUGAAAUACAUGGCAAAUACAGAGGUUAUGAUCAAAAGCCAAGCAGUGGCUAUUAAGAAUCUGGAAACUCAGAUGGGGCAAAUGGCGAACGUGAUUAACAACAGGCCCCAGGGUUCAUUGCCUAAUACAGAAGCAAAUCCACAAAGAGAUGGGAAGGAACAGUGUCAAGCAAUUACAUUAAGGUCUGGGAAAAAUAUUGCAGACACUACAAGUCGCGUGCCCGCGCCCAAUUGUACUAAGGAGGCCGCGCGAGGCAGAGCAGGCAACUACUGAGAAAGAAAAUCUGGAGAAUUCUGAGGUUCUGCAUGAAGAGAAAGAUAAAGCAAGGUCAGUUGAGAAGCCUAGGAGUUCAGUACCAAUAGUUCAUCCUCCGGUUCCGUAUCCGCAGAGAUUGAAUAAGUAGAGGGAGAAUAAACAGUUCAGCAAGUUCUUGGAGGCAUUGGAACAAAUGCCAAGUUAUGCAAAGUUCAUGAAGGGUAUAUUGUCAAGGAAGAGGAGAUUAGACGAGUUUGAGACAGUAGCCUUGACAGAGGAGUGCAGUGUAGUGCUUCAGUAGAAGUUACCUCCGAAGUUGAAGGAUCCGGGCAGUUUCACAAUUCCAUGCACGAUCGGAAAGAUGAACUUUGAUAAAUGUUUGUGUGAUCUUGGGGCAAGUAUCAAUCUGAUGCCCUUAUCAUUGUUCAAUCAGUUGGGAUUACCGACUCCAAGGCCGACAAACAUUUCGUUACAGUUAGCUGACAGAUCCAUCACAUAUCCACGGGGAAUUGUUGAAGAUAAAAAUAUACCAAUUAUAUUAGGGAGACCAUUUUUAGCCACAUGAAAGACUUUGAUAGACGUGCAGAAGGAGGAACUCACUAUGCGUGUUCAUGAUCAAGAGGUCACCUUCAAUGUUUUCAAAGCCAUGAAGUUUCCAGCAGAUGAAGAGGAAUGUUUCCUAGUUGAUUUGGUGGAUCAUGUCGUAAAUGAUGAAGUACAGAGUCUAGUGGAUGAUGAACCUUUGAGGAGUGUAAUUGCUGAAAAUACAGAUUUGGAGGACGAGGAACUUGACGAACUUGUGCAAUAUCUGGAUACCACUCCACAAGUCAGAAAAUUCAGAACACUUGUCGAGCCAUUGACAAAAGCUAGAGAAGCCUCAGUAAAAUUAAAACCAUCUCUUGAGACACCUCCAGAACUUGAAUUAAAACCACUUCCAGAACAUCUCAGGUACGCAUUUUUAAAUAAAGAUUCAAAGCUACCUAUGAUUAUUUCUUUUGCACUAACAUCUUUUCAGGAAGAAAAACUGCUACGAGUGCUUCGAGAGUUCAAAUCAGCUAUUGGAUGGACCAUAACAGAUAUCAAAGGGAUCAGCCCUUCAUUUUACAUGCAUAAGAUCUUGAUGGAAGAUGGGAGUAAGCCGUCGGUUGAGCAGCAAAGGAGACUUAAUCCUAUAAUGAAAGAAGUGGUUAAGAAAGAGGUACUGAAAUGGCUGGAUGCAGGCAUAAUCUAUCAGAUCUCAGACAGCUCAUGGGUGAGCCCAGUGCAGUGUGUACCGAAAAAGGGUGGCAUGACCGUAGUGACUAAUGAGAAUAAUGAGUUGAUUCCAACACGAACAGAGACAGGGUGGAGAGUCUGCAUAGACUACUGCAGGCUCAAUAAAGCUACAAGGAAAGAUCAUUUUCCACUCCCAUUCAUUGACAAGAUGUUAGAAAGAUUAGCAGGUCAUGGGUACUAUUGCCUUCUGGACGGAUAUUCGGGCUAUAAUCAAAUUAUGAUAGCUCUAGAAGACAAGGAAAAGACAACCUUCACAUGUCCUUACGGCACUUUCGCUUUCAGAAGGAUGUCCUUCGGGUUGUACAAUGGCCCAGCCACCUUUCAGAGAUGCAUGAUGGCUAUAUUUUCAGAUAUGGUGGAGCAGAAUGUGGAAGUAUUUAUGGAUGACUUCUCAGUCUUCGGGGACUCGUUUGAUCUAUGCCUUGAGAAUUUGGUGAUGGUUUUGAAGAGGUGUGUUGAGAAAAAUUUAGUGCUGAACUGGGACACAAAGUGUCGAAGAAGGGACUCGAGGUGGAUAGGGCGAAGCUAGAAACUAUUGAGAAAUUGCCACCACCUACUUCAGUAAAAGGUGUUCGCAGCUUUCUGGGAAAUGCAGGUUUCUACCGCAGAUUUAUCAAGGACUUUUCCAAGAUAACUAAACCACUAUGCAGUUUAUUGGAGAAGGAUUCACAGUUUAACUUUGAUGAGGCUUGCGUGUCGACAUUUGAGCACCUAAAAGGGAAAUUAACAUCAGCACCAAUUAUUACUGCACCAGAUUGGGAUUUGCCAUUUGAGCUGAUGUGUGAUGCCAGUGAUUACGCCAUAGGGGCUGCUUUGGGGCAGAGGAAAGAGAAGAUGUUUCAUGUGAUUUAUUAUGCCAACAAGACCCUUACAGAUGCACAGUUGAACUACACCACCACAGGAGAAAGAGUUAUUGGCAGUGGUGUACGCCUUUGAUAAAUUUCGAGCAUAUCUGAUUGGCACAAAGGUGAUAGUGUAUAUGGAUCACGCGACAAUUCGACAUUUAGUGGCAAAGAAGGAUGCAAAGCCCCGGUUGAUCAGAUGGUUUUUAUUACUACGGGAAUUUGAUUUGGAGAUCAAGGACAGAAAGGACACUAAACCAAGUGGCGGGCCACUUAUCACGACUUGAGAAUCCGAAAAGGGAAGCAGAUGACAAGGUUUUAAUCAAUGAAUCCUUUCCAGAUGAGCAGUUAUUUGUGGUGAAAGGGGAAGUGCCAUGGUUUGUAGACUACGCGAACUAUUUGGUGAGUAAGAUAGUACCUUCUGACUCGGUGGGUUAUCAAAAGAAGAAAUUCCUAUAUGAUGUCAAAUGGUACAUAUGGGAUGAGCCUUAUUUGUUUAAACAAUGUGUUGAUCAAAUGAUAAGAAGGUGUAUCCCGUAUAGCGAGAUCGAGGGAAUUUUGCAGGAUUAUCAUUCUUCGGUAUAUGGUGGUCACUAUGGUGGAGAGCGAACAGCAGCUAGAGUGCUACAAUCAGGAUUCUACUGGCCGACAAUUUUCAAGGAUGCCUAUAGUUUCGUCCAGUGGUGUGAUAGAUGUCAGAGAGUGGAAAACAUCUCAAAAAGAAAUGAAAUGCCAUUGAAUACUAUCCUCGAAGUAGAAAUUUUUGAUAUGUGGGGAAUUGAUUUUAUGGGACCUUUUGUUUCUUCUUGCAGAAAUCUCUAUAUCUUGCUCGCAGUGGAUUAUGUCUAGAAAUGGGUAGAAGUGGCAGCUCUUCCGACAAAUGAUGCCAAGGUAGUCCUCAGGUUUUUAUAUAGGAGUAUUUUCACUAGGUUUGGGACUCCAAGGGCCAUCAUCAGUGACAAAGGCAGUCAUUUCUGCAACAGGCAGUUUACAGCUUUAUUGGCUAAGUAUGGGGUGAACCAUCGCAUUGCGACAACUUAUCACCCACAAAUGAAUGGCCAAGCUGAAGUGUCGAAUCGAGAAAUAAAAAGAAUCCUUGAAAAGGUUGUGAAUCCCACGAGGAAGGAUUGGUCGUUAAAGUUGGAUGAUACAGUAUGGGCCUAUAGGACUGCAUACAAAACUCCAUUGGGCAUGUCACCUUUUCAGCUUGUGUAUGGAAAAUCUUGUCAUCUUUCUAUGGAGCUAGAGCAUAAGGCAUAUUGGGCAAUUCGGAAGCUCAAUUUUGAUUUGAAAGCUGCAAGGGAGAAACACUUACUCCAACUCAACGAGUUGGAUGAAUUUAGAUUACAGGCAUAUGAGAAUUCAAAUCUAUACAAGGAGAAAGUGAAGAAAGGGCAUGAUCGAAAGAUAAUUGAUAGAACAUUCGAACCGAGACAAAAGGUUUUGCUUUAUAACUCCAGACUUAAACUUUUUCCCGGGAAGCUGAAAUCGAGAUGGUCAGGACCAUUUACAGUAAAGACUGUAUUUCCACAUGGUGCAAUUGAAGUAUUUGACAAUUUUUCGGACAAGCCUUUCAAGGUGAAUGGACACCGACUGAAGCAUUACUGGGGUAGUGAGGUGGACAGACAGAAAGUCACCUCAAUUCCGUCUUUAACAUGAGAUUCUGAGAUAGUCAAGCUAAUUGACUAUAACCUAGCGCUUGAUGGGAGGCAACCCAUUAUUUUUAUCUUUUAUCUUUAUUUAUUUAGUUCAAGUUGUCUUGUCAGCUCAUUUUCAUCCUUAUUUAGGAUCAUAUGAUUAUUUCUGCAUAACUAGCAUAGUAGCUGAAAUUGAAUAGGAGCAUGUUUGUGCACUGCAUUGAAAUGAGAGUGAUACAAUAGACACACAUGUUUAUCUAGUAAAUCAUAUUUUUAUAGUGUCUAGUGGUGUAUGCAGGUGAAACAAAAUGCAGUACUGCCCUAUAACAUGAAAACUAACAGCGCUGAAUUUAAUCCCGCGCGGCCGCACAUGAAUAUACUAUACAACUCGCGCGCCCGCGCAUUCCAAAUUUUUGUGCUGAACACGUACCUCGCGCGCCCGCGCCAUGCUACAGCGCGCCCGCUCCCAAAUUACAUGGACGGACCACUGGGCUGCGCGCGACAUCAGACGUGGAAUUUUUUUGUUAAGUUUAAAAACGUGUUGGAGAUCAUUUGGGCUCUCAUUUGAAAACAUAACAGAAGUGAAAUCACCGUGCUCUCUCCAAAACACACGUCUCUUCCUCUCUAUCAGUUACACAAUUGAAGCAAUCAAUCUCCCCACCACGUAAUCAUCCACGAUUUCUUCCACGUUCCACAUCUACUCAACCUCUACACUGCAGUAUAAAUCUAGGGUUCUUGAGUGGGUGGUGCAGAAACGAGUUUGAGCUAUUCUCCUCAUCGGUUUCUUAUUCAUUACCAAGUAAAUUAUCUUCAUUAUCUCUAUCAAUUGCAAAUGGGUCCAAAGAGGGCACGAUCUUCCUCAUCAUCAUCGUCCUCUGGCAGUCAAGGGGAGGAUAUGGUUGAUUAUACAAUGUUUUUGGAUUUGGAAACCCAGCAGGAGUAUUACCGAAUUGUGACCAAAACCUUUGUGAAAGAAAGAGGGUUCAAACCUGAAGGGCAAGAUGGUCAGCUAUAUGACAUGAUUCGCGAAAGAGGAAGGCUUGGAUUGACUGCCAUGCCCAUGCCUAUCCCAAUGGGAAUUGUCAGAGAAUUCUAUACGAAUGCGAAGGCAACAAUGAGUGGGUUAUCCGUGGUGCGCGGCAUGCAAAUGGAUUUCAGACCUUCUGCAAUCAGGGCAGUUUUCAGGUUAACUGACACACCACCGACUGGGUCUGCGAAUUGGGUAGCAGGUGCACAUAUGGAAAUGGACUUGGAAUUGGUUAUUGCUGAAUUGUGCGUGCCUGGCACGAAGUGGACUUAUAAAGCCGACACGAAUCAGCCUCGCAUAUUUCCCGCCGCAGCUUUGAAUCGAUAUGUUAAGGCGUGUAAUUUGUUCAUAUGUGCCAAACUAGUUCUUUCGUCUCAUCAGCACGAGAUCACAGCGGAAAGGGCAAUCAUUCUAUGGGGCAUUAUCACCGGAAAAUAUAUCGAUGUGGGUCAUCUUAUCCAUCAAAAUAUGUUGUGGUAUCUGCGGGGAAGCACUACAGGGAGCAUUCCACACGCGUCAGUUGUAGCUAUGCUCUGUGCUACUCAGGGUUGCCAUUGGGACAAUGAGCAAAUGCAGAACCCAAGCCAGGAUAUCACCCGCCACCAUUGCAAAAUUCGAGGAUUGGGCAGGAGGUGUACCACACCCGCGCGGACGAGGAUUUAUUAUCCAACUCAUUUUCCCAGAGCCACCACAGCAGCCCUCUCAGACAGAUGAGGCAGGCCUGUCAACCUAAGUUCCCUUUGCUACUGGGGAUCGACAGCUCCGAAGGUUGGAGCGAAAAGUCGACGCUAUGUACGAAAAUUUUUCAGCAUUUGCAACGAGGUUGACGAGGUCAUUGGAAGAAGCUUUUGCACAGUAAGGGACAAUGCUUGGGUGGCCUCAGUUCAGGACAGCUGUGCCAUAUCCACCACCAGAUUCACCACCCGCAGAGGGUGGUGCAGCAGAUCAUUAGAGGAGUUUUCUUUAACCCUUUUACCUUCAUUCACUGGGACAUUGAAUAUUAUAAGUUUAGGGGUAUUGGGGGUAAUAUUAUAGUUGCAUAUAGUAGUAUCUGCAUGUUUAGUUUAAUUUUCUUAUAGUAUUUGCAUGUUUAGUUUAAAUGAUGCAUGUUGCAGAAAAUUUUUAAGUUUUAGUUAUAUGUUUAGUUGCAUUUUAUGUUUAGUGCAUGUCUCACAAAUUCUAGCUUUAUGAAAAUUUUGUCUAGCCGAUGAUGAGAAUGAAUUUUGAAGGAUUUUUGAGUAUUUUGGCAUAACAUGACCUGAGAUAUAAUGUUUUACGCAAUUGAAUUCAUAAUGUUGUUUAAAUGCUUUCGGUUUGCACGGCCGUGUUCACAAACACUUGUAGGUAUAAGAAUUAUGUGUUGCAUUGCUCGAUAGAAAAUGUAGUUAAAAAAGGGAAAUAUGUAGAAAGUGAACUUAGACUGUGUAAAACAUUGAUUUUCAAACUUUGGGAAAACAUGGGUAUGCUAUGUAUAUAAAACAAAAAUAGCAAUAACGUGACUAGUCUUAUUUCGGGGCCCUAGCUACUUGAGUAAGUACGCCCGUAGGGGUGUCUUAACACCUACUGCCCUAAGGUCUUUCAUGAUCUGGGAGUCAUUGGUUGAAAGCUCGCUAAGGGGUAGAAGUGUUUGCCUAAUGGAACGAGGCAUUGUACAGUCAUAUGGAAAAAAAAAAGAGAAAAGAAAAAGGAAAAGAAAAAGAAAAAUAGUAAUAAACACUGCGGGAAAGAGCGAAAAUCGCCCUCAUGAGUAGCAAUAAAGCAGUUAAGCCCAUUGUUGAACCUUAGUUUGCGUUGAUAUGUUGGAACAAUCUUUGUUGCAUAAGUAUACAUGAGUCUUGAUUUAGACUGUAAUUUUUUGUUUUAAGUUGUUUAACAUGUGUAUUCUUUGCUUAAUUCAAGUUUUGGUGAACACGAUACACACACAGCAUCUCUAUAGCAUUUAUGAAUUAUCUGAGUGUAUGAUAUUAUGCCUAUAGUUCAGUUUGAAUUUGUAUUCUUGAAUCUAGAUAAUUUGUUGAGGCAUUUUGGACUGAAAUUCUAUUAUAGAUGGAACAAUGUGAGACUAGUUUGUAUCAUGAUGUAGUUGCAUAGCAUGUAGUUGCAUUUUCAUUGUUUAUUAGUAUGCAUUGCUUGAAGGCAAGCAACAGUUCAAGUUUGGGGAUAUUUGAUAAGUGGGUUUUAUACCUACUUAUCGGAUAUGAAUUCAUGCGAACUACGCCUAUCUUAAGUACAUUUUAGUGUGUUUUUAGUUGCAUUUUGUUUAUUUUGCAUUGCAUGUACUUAGAACUCCCUUUGGUGUAAAAGUGAAGGAUAUGACAUAAGUUGGCGAUGGUGAGUGGCAUGCGAUCAAUGAAGGCACAACAUGAGAACGGAUGGAGCAGAGAAACUAAGCGUUGGUGGACAAAAGACUGAGCAGCAGGACAUAAAUAGUAGCAGCAUAAAACCAAAAUCAACACUACAGAAGCCGCGCGAUUAUAGAGGAUUGAGGACGCGCGCCCGCGCAAUCAUUCGGACUACACAGACUUGACACACGUGCACCCGCGCGAAGAAUACACAAGAGGAGCAUGCGCCCGCGCGCGAUGUCUAAUGCUGCUGAGCUGUUUUAUUUUAAUUUUUAAUUUGAAGGGUUGUAAUCGAUUAAAAACAAUUCUGACUAGUGUCAGACGUAUCAUUCAGUAGUUUUACGUGUUUUUCAUAUUCGUAACUAGGGUUUACACUUGGAGAGCAUUCCAACGUGAAACUAAUCGUAGACUUCGUAUUUUCUACUCCUUCUUUAGAUUUCAGUAGUUGUGGAUGCUUUACAUUGUUAUUGCUAGAUAUUAUUAAGGAUUUGCACAUUACGUUGGGUUUGUAAUCAGUAAUUGGGUUUGAUCAAUUCUUUCUUCUCUCUUUCUCAAUUGUUUGCUUAUUAUUCAUGUUUUGCGUUGAUCUCAUAAUGACUUUUGGUUCAGUCAUAAACUAAACUCCAUUAUGGGAUUCUAACGGAUUUUAAUAUGUAGUUUAAUUAAUGGCUCGAGUGCUGGACUGUUUUACAUGUCAUAAGGAAUUUCUAUCAUGGUUGUUUUGCAUGCAUGAAUGCUUGAUCACCAUUCGUUUUCAGUACUUGUAUGGAGUUGAAAAAUAACAUGCGAGUAUGGAUUGUAAUCAUGAUAACAUGCGUAUAUGGGGCUGUUGUGUAUAGCUUUGUAUUUCGUGAACCAAAUAGACAUAUACUGUUUCACCGUAUGAGUUAAAAUAAAGGCUUGUGCUUAAAUUCAAUAUGGUUGCAAUUUCGCAUAGACAUAUAGUGAUUUUGGUUAUAUUGAUGAUUACACGGUGUCUAUCGCAUUUGGAUACUGUGUAAGUAGGCCAUAGUACAUUGAAAAAUGGCUAUAUCUAUAUUAGUGCUCUUGGCUACUUUUCUGUGGUGUGUAAACAAUCUUGCAUGAUGGUAGUAAUUAGAUGAAGUAUUAAAUGAAGUUAGGAUCCCAUUACCUCCAGAUUUGAUUUAUUACCUUAUUAUUCUUGUUAUUUGCAAUUAGAGUAAUUCACAAUUAUAAUCAAUAGUUUAAGCAUAUAAAAUAUAAUAAUUUAAUUGAUGCAUAGUGGUUUAAAUUAGACAACUUUCCCCGUGGAUCGAUACUCGACUUACUCUGUAUUACUUGUUGACGCGUGUAUACUUGCAUGAAUUAGAGCUCUUUUGUUAGAACUAAAAAAGAGGCAACAAUAUCACCAAUGGUUAUGAUCAUUCCAAACAACAGUCUACCUUUACACUACGGGCCAAAGAGAACUUUCACCAUAUGUCCUUGCAUACAGACCAUAGACACCAAAUAAUAUAUUGUCGUUGCACCCAAACCAAAGAUGUUCACCAUAACUUGAUUCUUUAAUGAUUAGUACAAGUAAAAAUAAUAUAAGGAAUGAAUAAAAGUUGUAUGAAUAAUGAGAUAAAAAAACUAAACAUUCGAGAUUUAAUAUUUUAUUUGUUAAGAGUCCAAUAAUGUCCAAAUUGUCAACAUGAUGACCAAAAUGUGGAUUCAAAUUCAAGAGUGAUAUUCAAUAUUCAUAUUUCAAAAAUAACGAUUAAAAUUCAAUAAAAUGAUUCAGGUAAAUGAAAUUAUACUAGAUGAAGCGCAAACUUCCAACGAAUUUCUAAUCAUUUUAGAAAUUAUAGAAGCAAUACAUAUCAUAGUAAGUUUAAAUUUAGGAGUAUGAAAUAAAAUGAUAUCCCUUAUAAAAGAAAUGAUAUCUCUUUACGAAUAUGAAAGAAAUAAUAUCCUUUACGAGUAUUAAAAGAAAAUAACAUCAUUUACCUUAGUAGGAGACUAAAUUUGACUGGAAUAAAUAAGAUUAUCUUGAGAAAAUUUUACACUAUUAGCUAUACACAAAGCAUCCUUAUACUCAAAAGAAAUACUCACAAUAUUAUGGAAGAAGAAUUUUGUGUUUUUGGUGUCUCUUAUCUUCUAAAGGUGCAUUCCUUUUAUAGGAAAAGUUUAGGAGACAUGCGUCCGUUAAUCAAGGAAUUCAGUCAUGGUUUCAAACCUAUCAGUAUACCCAUUUGAAAGCUUUGGCCAAUUAGAGGACACCCUUUUUGAAAUAAUUCACAUGUUUCCAAAAUAAAAAAAUACCACUUGGAAAAUUUGGCAAAUGAGGGCCAUCCUUUGAAAAACAUUCAUAAUCCACCAAAAUCAAAAGAAAAGAAGACAAACCUCUUGGAAAAUUUUGGCAAAUGAGGGGUCACUCAUUGAAAAAGAAUUCUGUAUGCCAAAGUUUUAAAAGAAAGAAUUCACACCUAAUUUCCUGCCUAACUCCCCUUUUCUUAUGGGUGAAGACCCACUAAUUUGGAAAAAUGAAUUGAACGAGAAAUUUUUCAACCCAUCAAUUUGGAAAAGGAGAAGUGCACGAGAAGUUUUGAAAAUCUGCAAAAUUAAUAUAAUAUUAUAUCAUUAUAAUACUAUAAUACAAAAAUAUUAUUAAACUAUACUAUUAUAAUGUAAUAUUAUAAUAAUAUAUUUGAAUGAAUAUUAAUGUCGAAGAAGAUAAUUGUGGUACCAUAUAAUAAUAUGCCAUACUUUUAACAAAUGUCUCACGUUAAACCCCUCCAUUUGUAACAAAAAUUGGACAAAUAUCAACCACACCAUAAUAUUCACAAUUAAUAUUACAGAGUCACAAUAUUGGCAACCAGAUCGUUCCAAGGAAAGAGGGGGGGUCUUCCAUAAAAAUGACGCGCAAUUAGCUAACCUCUUUUCUUGACAGAACUUCUAGACAUUGUCAGUAAUGCUAACUAAUUUAAUAAUAUCAUAUCAAAUAAUAUGAGUUACUUUGUUGCAUUAUUGAUUUAAUAAUAUAAAAUAUUAUGCAGAUGUUACUGUAACAAUAAUAUGAGAUACUAUGCAAUAACUACAAUGACAAUUAUUGAAUUAAUAAUCAAAGAUAUUGUACAAUACCGUGUCACUAUGCAAUACUGCGUACUACUGUGGAACAACUUGUAUUACUGUACUUUUAUCAUUGGGUAUUUCAACUGUUAACGAUAAAGGUUAUGUCGCCAAUUUGUAAAAUUCUUUUUUGUUACUUUCUAUAUCCGACAGUUAUUUUGUUAUGGGGUCAACCAAUGAUUGGUUAUUUCAGUGCCAUCGUACGAAUUUUCCCCGACAAAACGAAUAUUUUCCAUAAACUGUUUACUUCGUAUAAUUUGCACAUAUCACCCAUAACUAUAACAUUUAUUAAAUCAACAUCUUACUAUUUAAAAUAAAUCUCAUUCAUAAAAAGUUUGGGCCUUACAACCUCCCCUACUUAUGAAAUUUUAUCCCCGAAAUUGACAUAUGUACCUGACAUUUCAAAGAGGUGAGGAUACGUUACACUCAUUUCAGAUUCUAACUCCCAAGUCAUUUCCUCAGUAUCAUGGUUUCUCCAUAAAACUUUGAAUUGACAGGUACCUCAUAAAUUAAAUCUUCUACUAUCUCGUCUUGUUCUAACUCAAUGAUGUGGUUCGGGUCUUUCACAUUGUUUCGUAGCAUAGAUAUGUGAAAAAUGUUAUAAACACGAGCCAUGCUUGACGGUAAGGCAAGUCUGUAGGCCACAUUUCGUACUCGGUGGAGAAUUUCAAACGGACCAAUAAAUCGAAGGUUGAGCUUUCCUCUAUUUCUAAAUCUCGUAACUCCUUUCUAUAGAGCAACACAUAAUAGUACACAGUCUCCGACAUUGAAUUCCACAUCCCUUCGAUGAAGAUCAACAUAACUCUUUUUUCGAUCUUGUGCCGUUUGUAUACAUUGUCGGAUCAUUUGAAUCUUUUCUGCAGUCAUACAUACUAACUCUGGUCCUAACAAUUUUGCCUCGCCUACUUCAUCCCAACAUACUGGCGAACGACAUUUUUGCCCAUACAACAUCUCGAAUGGAGCCAUACCUAUACUUACUUGAUAACUGUUAUUAUAGAAGAAUUCCACCAUUGAUAAGUACUUAUCCCAACUUCCUUUGAAUUCUAGUACGCAGAGUCUCAAUAGAUCUUCAAGAGUUUGAAUAGUCCUUUCUGAUUGCCUGUCCGUUUGGGGAUGGUAUGCAGAACUGAAUCGUAAUUCAGUGUACAUAGCUUUUUGAAAGUUGACCCAAAAUCGUGAAGUGAAUCUAAGAUCUCGAUCAUAAAAUAUGGAUACUAACAUGCCAUGCAAUCUUAUAAUCUCGCUUAUGUACAUACUAGCAAACGUUCAAGUGAAUAGUUUUUUCAUAUGGGCAAGAAAUGAGCAGACUUGGUCAAUCUAUCGACAAUGACCCAAAUUGCGUCUAAGCUUUGAGAAACCUUAGGAAGACCCAUCACAAAAUUCAUAUUUAUGUGUUCCCACUUCAAUUCCGGAAUCUCAAGUUGUUGCAACAGACCCUUUAGUACUUGAUGUUCUACCUUGAUAUGUUGACAAGUUAGACACCUUGAGACAAACUUUGUGAUCUCUCUCUUCAUAUUUCUCUACCAAAAUGUAUGCAAAAGAUCACAAUACAUUAUAGUACUUUCAGGAUGGAUUGUGUAAGGACCGAGAAUUUUAUGUGUUAUAAUAAAAAUUAUAUAUAUGUAUAUAUAUGAAUAAAUUUUUUUUAGGAAUUUUCUUGAGCAUAUGAGUGAAUGUGUUAGGUGAUGUGAAUUAAGUAAGUUAGUUAAUUUAUUUAUUUUAAGUUGACUAGGAAAUGAAAAGGAGGCCAAGAUGAAUAAUUAAUCAAGUUGAUUAAGGAAAUGCAAGAUAAUCUUAUAUUAUAUCUUGAAUAUUGACCUUGAAUGGUAAAUGAAAAGAUUAAUGAUCUUUAAGUGAUUAAUUAGUAUUACUAAUAUAAAGUUCUUAUAUAAAUAUGGAUACACGUGUAAUAAUUUAUCGAUCUAACGAUAAAGAGUUUUUAAGCCAAUUAGGGCUAAUUAAGUUAAUGAAUUGGUGGAACAAAAAAAAAACCAAGAGAUAAGAAUUUAUUGAUUUAAGCUUAUGUUACUAACUAAUUAAGCUUGAGAUGAAAGCGUUGUGGCAUAAUUAUAAAUAUACUAGUUGGUAGUAGUUUGAAUAAUUAAUUGUAUAAUUUAUUAACACGGUCGUCCUCAAAAUUGAUUACAAACGCUAUCUAACUCAACCAACCUAUAUUACAUCCUGAAAUGUAAACAUCACAUAGAAAUAUAAUAUCAUAUCUUCAAAAGAUUUAAGUUGUCUUUAGUCUGGUGAUCUUCAUUUGGGUUUGCUUUCUUGGAAUUGAGUUUUUCAUCCCUAUGAAAUAAAAUAAUGUACCAAAAAGUGCAAGGCAAAUAUAUUAAAAAAUAUGAGACUACCAAAUAUAAAUAGCAAGACCCCUCCAUCAUUGACAUUCCUCUCAUCAAAGCUUACCAGGUCAAACUAUAUAUAUAUAUAUAUAUAUAUAUAUAUAUAUAUAUAUAUAUAGUAGUGAUCGAUAAGCUUUAGGUAGUGCUAUAAAGACUACUGCAUAUUGGCUAACAAAAUUAUUGAUUCUAACAAAAAAAUUCCACGCUACAUAUAUAAAUAGUAUUUCUAUUAGUAUAUAUAUUUGACUAUGUCAAAUUGAUAGAAGAUGUUUAUCAAUACAUGCAUGGGGUAAGAGUAUUAAUUACCAUAUGAAACAUAAUUUUGAAGGAUAUCAGCUACAAUGUGGUAGACAUCUACAUAAAGAAAUUUUGAUCUGUUGAGAUUGGCAGCAAACUCCAUUAGAAGACUCUGUAACUAACUGCUGAAUGACUGGACAAAUUGAUUUGGCAAAACAACACAGUUGUCUCGAAUUAUACGUAAGAAACGGUAAGCAAUAUAAUCAUCAAAUAUGUAUAUAAGAAACGGAAAGCAACAUAAUCAUCAAAUUAGAUUUCAACGAAAUCUUUUAAGCUAUGUUUGCAACUCAAUCCAAGCCUAACAAUUGAAAGUGAGCCUAAAUUUUAGUUCUAUAGAAUUGCAAUUGUGCUUUCAAUUCAAAUUCAAGAGUUUCAAAUCGAGUUGUCAGAUAUAGAAUGAAAAUCAAGGAUUGAUUUCAUGGAAAAUAACUUACAAAAAUCUUUCCAGUUUCAUUGACAAUUCUUCCUACACCGGAAGCAUAGUUGACACCCUGCAGAAUUACAGGUCCCCUGGUGGUUGGAGCCAAAUAUGGAGGAGCAAAAUCUUUAAAAUCGGUUUGUUGUCCCGGUAUAACAAAAAAUUAUAAACAAACAUAAAGAUUUUUUUGUUGUUGCUAAACAAACGUAUAACAGAUUUUGUCAAAGUUUGUCACAUAACAGAUUUAGUUUUUCGUAUUAAUAUGCAUCUUUAGCUAGUAAUUAAUAUGCAUCUUUAGCUAGUAAUGAUGAGAGUUCAACAUCAACUGAGAAAGAAGUGAGUGUCUUGGAGGAGCUUCUUGAAUCAGAACCAAAAAAAAGAAACCAAACAAAGAUCGAGUAUUUUAAAUGCAGUUUUAAUUUUAAUUAUGUUUUUUUCCCGAGUAUCCUUUUUUUCCCUGUGUUUUUUUUAUAAAUUUAUUUGUUUUUAUCUUCUUUUAAUUCUUUCUGUAUUUGAAGAGAAACGUGUAUCAAUUUGAUAAUAAUUAAAUAAAAAAAUUAUUUCUUUUUGACACAUCAGAACUAAAAUGUCACAUGUAUGUGUCACAUCAUCAAUUUGUGACAUGGCGGUUUCCAAUUGAAUCAAAAUGGAAAAAAUUGAAAGCUUAAUAACUUAAUUGAAAAAAUUAAAAAGUGGAAUAUCGAAGUGGAAAAAGUGUAAUAGUUUAGGAUAAUAAUUCAUAUUUAAGCCUAAACUCAACUACUCAAGUAUUGUUCUACCAUUUGCAUAUGGAAGAACAAAAUCUUACCUAAAAUAUCAGAUAUUGUUCUGCCAUUUGUGUAUCGUCAUGUUGGCUUCCCAAAAUCAAUACCAUUAGGAGGGUAAGGAUAGAGACACAAUGUAGUUAUUGUUUCUAGCUUCAACCAAAGAGUCCAAAAAUAAAAUUAGCAAAAAAAAAUUCUGCUGAACAAAUGCCCAACCAAACAAAGACUGUCAAAACUACACAACACCAACAAUAACUCUUUUUGAUGAUAGAUUAGCCAUUACAAUCAAUGUGUAAGAGAAAAAACAGUUAUGGGUAUGCUCUACCAAUACAAAAUCUGCAUGAAAAAACUAAGUAAAGAAUACUUUCCCCUUCCUCACAAUUGAAGGAUGAGGAAGAGGAGGAAGAGGAGGAAUCUCUACAAUUUAACAGAGUGCAACAAAUGUUCUUCAAAGGAUUUAAUAUUUUUUAAUUUUAAUAUUGUUCAAUGAAAAUCAAAGUUUUAGAUACCAAGUUAAUAAUAUUUUCAGACAUUGAUGAAAUGACCUACUACUUCACAAAAACUAAUUCCUUAUUUGUGAUUCAGUCAGAACAUACAUCAAACAAAUGGGAUGCAAAGACCAAAAACAAAAAAAAAAGAAAAAAUGACCAAUAACAAAUACUUGACGAAGUUAUUGGCCUCUCAGUGUCAUGGGUAUUUUAGAUUUGAUAAAAUGCAGAUGCAUAACAAAUAGUAAUAAGCAAAUUCAAAUACCUGAAGAUGGAAGAUUUCGUUCGAAAAGUGUGGAAUUAUUCACUUCCGAUCACUAGCUAAUCCUGUAUAUAGACAAUAUGUAUUUUCGUUUAGUAGAGUUUCUAUUUGACGGUAAAGAAAAACCCCAAAACAACCAGCCCCAGAGCGAAAUUCAUUCAAUAACCCUUAUACCUAUCUCAACUCACACCCAAAUUUCCUAAAAUGCCAAUUCAUUCAAUAACCCUUCUAUAAAAUUUGUCAAAUAGGAAUCAGAAAUAUAUACUUACAGAAGUGUGGAUGCCAAUAAAUGCAAAGAAUCCAAGUAUUGGAGCACAAAAAUGUUAUCUGAAUCCAACACUCCAAAAAAUAGGCUUUUGAUUUAGAGUAUUUUCAACAGCUCAAAAUACUGAUUAAAUAACAUCACUAAAAAACACACAAAGCCCCAGUUCCAAUUUAUCUAAAUUCAUUUUAAAAUUAAACCCAAUUAGCUUCUUCAACAAUUUUCACAAAGCCCAAUUACAAAAUCAUUAGAUGUUAACUACAGAUACUUAAAUUGCAAGAACUGAAUCUCGUUAUCAAUAAUCUAACAUAAAAACCUAAUAUUUUUCGAGAUAGAUUACACAAUUUAGAAACACUACAGCAAAAUAAAUUUGAUAAAAUUAGCUAAAUAAUGAAUAUAGAGUUUGUAUAUAUAUGAGAUGAAUGAGAUUUGAGUACCGUUUGGGAAUUGAGAAUGAGGACCUUUUGAAUUUGUAACGUUUGAGUUUGAAAGAUUACUAUGAGCAAUCAAAAUAUAUGCUAAGAUCGGUAGGAUGGCAGUGAGGCGUUGAUGAUGAUAUGUUGAUUUGGGACUUAUAUGUUUGUGAUAAUGGGGUUUGAAGAGAUCUGAUACUUGAAACAAAGGAUGGAAAGAAUUGGAAAACCCGGAAAAGGAAUCGACAAAAAUUGGAAGAAGAGGAAGAAGAAGAAGAUGGGAAAUCUGAAAAGAGAUGAAGAGAAACGGAAGAGUAACCGAUCAAUUGUAUAUGGGCUUUGGAAUUCAGAAUAAGGAGGGGU
rnacentral:lncRNA from 1 species